GAAACUAAGAAAUAGACUUGAAAUUUCAGAACCUGACACAGUCGCAGUUUAGAAUUGCGGUGAAUUCAGACAUGGGAAGCUCUUACUCGGCGAAGGAUAACGUCCACCGUCUGACUAUCGACGCAAAUUGGACAAUUUAAAUCCUGAUUUGGAUGAUAGCAAGUAUCAAGUCAUUCUGGAAAAUGUAAUUCAUGGAGUCGCAUUCAUUGUUGACCUGGACACGAUAGACAACAUCAGUGGGGUUAUGAAGACACAGUUUAAGGACAUGCAAACCAUUGUGGCACAAAAAUAUAUUUACAGGACUGUGAUUGGGACCAAAUUUGACCGAUUAGGGAUACCAGAGAAAGACGAUAGUUACAUUUAUCAAUACAAGGCACUACAGGAGAAGUUUGUAAAGUUGUCAGAAGAAACUGGGAUGGAGAAGCGCAGCAUAUUUGCCAUUUCAAAUGAAUGGAAUAGCGAUACGAUAGAUCAGACCAGAUGUGUGCUCAUUUUGCACGCAUUGGAAAAUACGGUCAGAAACAUAAAUGAAUACCUCAGAACAGCAGAAUAAUGAAUACACCUAAUCUUACAUAGAACUGUGUAACAAAUCCUGUUUCUCUAUUAUAGUGACCGACUGAGUUCACCUUAAAUGACACAACAUGAAAAUACAUUGGGCAGAAUUUUGCUUCCAAUUUCCACCCCUCUAUGCCCUUCACAUGGUCCAUCUGCAGCACUUCCCUCCCUUUCCUCUCUGUCUCCAUUUCUGGUAGUAGACUGUCCACCAAUAUUCAUUGCAAGCCCACUGACUCCCAUAGCUACCUUGACUACAGCUCCUUACACACUGCUUCCUGUAAGGGCUCCAUCCCAUUUGCUCAGUUCCUUCACCUCUAUCGCAUCUGAUCCGAUGAUGCCACUUUCCAAAACAAUGCUUCUGACAUGGCUUCCUUCCCCCUGAACCAAGGUUUCCCACCCACUGUGGUUGACAGGGCCCUCAACCGUGUCUGAUCCAUUUCCUGUGCCUCGGCCCUCACACCUUCCUCUCCCUCCCAGAACCAUGAAAGUUUCCCCCUUGUCUUCAAUUUUCUCCUCACCAGACUCCGCAUUCAAAGGAUCAUCCUCCGCCAUUUCCACCAACUCCAGCAUGAUGCCACCACCAAACACAUCUUCCCCUCAUCAUCUCCCCUCCCCAGCGUUCUGUAGGGAUCGUUCCCUCCGUGACACAAUGGUUCACUCCUUCAUCAUCCCCAACAGCUCAUCCCCCUCCUACGGCACCUUCCCAUGCAACCACAGAAGGUGCAACACAUGCCCCAUUACCCCCUCCCUCCUCACCAUCCAGGGCCCAAACACUCAUUUCAGGUGAAACAGCGCUUCAUUUGCAGCUCCUUCAGUUUGGUCUACUGCAUUCGCUGCUCCCAAUGCGGUCUCCUACAUUGGAGAGACCAAACGUAGGCUGGGUGACCACUUUGGGGAACACCUUCGGUCUGUCUGCAAGCAUGACCCAGACCUUCCUGUAGCUUGCAAUUUUAACACACCAUCCUGCUCUCAUGCCCACAUGUCCAUCCUUGGCCUGCUGCAAUGUUCCAGUGAAGCCCAAAGCAAACUGGAGGAACAACCUCAUCUUCCGACGAAGCACUUUACAGCCCUCUGGACUCUCUCUCCUCUAUCUUUGCCCCUUUUUAAUCUCCUAUUUUCAAAAUUCAUUUUUAUUUUUUAUCCACUUAUUUUUAUUCAUUUAUUCAUUGGUUUAUCCCCUUUUGUUAUCCCCACUUUCUAUAACACCAAGGUGCUUAACAGUCUGGUUCAGUCUCAGACAGUUACCAGGAAGAGAGAUGGGAGGAGUGAUAAGGGAAUGAAGUUUGUGGUCAGGACUGAAGACAAUAACUUUAUAAAUGGUGUGAUUCCGACAGUUACAUUAAAACCAAUGCAGGCUGUAAUUUCAGACCAGCCUGAGGUUCUCUUUGGGACUGGGUGAAACCAGGAAAUCAGGCUAUUGGCUGGGUGUUAUAUGAAUGAACAAUGUGUGGCUCAGUGAUGAGCCUGGCCGUAUGUUAUAGUAUUUCAGGAAUGAUUUCAACCAUUUACCAUCUUUAGAAAUGAUUGCACAACCUAAUUAAACCUGCAAAUGUGUUUCUCUCUCUGCGAGGUCUGGCUUAUGCCUUCAGUGACUCCUCCAUGAAUCUUUUAUUCCUGAUUCAGCAGGGAGAUUCUCUGUCCUUCAGCUUAUUCCUUUAUUUGUGUCUUAUUAAAAUCCAUACAUCUGUGUGCAUGAGAUCAUGCUCUAUUAACUUUUCAUCUUAAAGUACAUUAUGAGCAUUUAUAAAAUAGCAUUUAUUUCUGCUGGUAAAGCCCUAUAAAAAGAGUUUAAAAAAAACAAAAAAAUCUGCAUGUUUUCACAAUAAAAUGAUGAAAUACGUCCA